CUUGGAGUAAAGAGAGCUGCCAAGAUGGCUGAAGUACCAUUCUGGAUCUUUGGUACUGUCAAAAUGCUUCUCCUUUCCCUCCUCCCACACACUCAUCUCACUUCAUUAUGAGCAGCCCAAAGAGCUGUCAUGGACUCUCUUAACACAUACACACACCACUCCCCAGAGCUUGGUAACUACCUUGCAUUGUCUCUUUGAUAGGCAUGUAAGAAACAAAUGAGGAGGAGGAGAUGCCUGAAGGGUCCAUUAACAUUGUUAGGUUAGAUGCGCUGACAAUAAGUCGAUUCUUUUUGACAUGACUGUCGCAGUAAUGAAGGUAUGUUUCUCAACGACUCUCCUUAAUAUAAGAUAAGAUAUGGAUGGCCCGUGUUUUUCCUCUGACACACGUCCAGUAUAUCAAAGGGUGGCAGAAGAAAAGGUUUGCUUAUUGACACACUAAUAGGAGAUAAAAGUUUAAGAUUAAUAGCAACGCUGCCUUUGUCUGUCCCGUUCCGUUUGGUGGGUCCUCCAGAGAAUGGAAAAUUCACUGCUCUGGCUUCUGAAAAGCAAAGGGAACAGAGAAGAGACGGGGGAUGCAUGGAGGCCACAGUAAAAGGUCCUCCUUUCCCCCAGAGUAUAAGGAAAAGGCAUGCAGAAGGAAAACGUGUGUCUUCCUGAAUGUCAUGCUACGUUCCAUUCUCCGUCUAUGACUCUGGUAUUUAGAUGGGCUUUUUGUAAAGAAGGAGCAUGGCACAAGAAUGGCUGAGGACUUUGUGUACAUGCACUGCCAGGUAAGCGUUGUUUUUCCUCCCCCUGCGUUAAACCCAAAAUGAAAGCAAUAAAUGGGUUGUUAUAUAGCCUUGGAGGUCGAACAAGAGCUGUAGCCUUGGGAUUAAAAGAGGUGCUGCUAUUGCAUUUCUCUUCUAUAACCCCUUUCCCCCAUGCCUUAGGCACAGGCAUCCAGACACCAAAUGAUCUGUUUUUCCAACAGUGUGGGAAAUAUGAUGUCUGCUUCAAUAUGUCUGUGGGUCUAAGAGACUUAUGAGAGGGGCAAAGCUUCAUGUUAUGUCCCUGUGCAUGGGGGGGGGGGGCUCGGAGAUAACAGGCUUGAGAUUUCCCUGUCAGCACGGAAUGAAGCUGUUCCAUUCCAGGGAUUGAACCUGGGACCUUAUGCAUGAAAGGCAGACACUCUGCCACUGAGCAAUGUCCAUGCCUGCUAAGAAAACCACAGAUCUUAGGCUCUUAUUCUGGGCUUUUCUAAACUACUAGCAUACAGUUUCCAAGUAACCUUGGAGUCCACCUGUCCUCUCCUGACUCCUUGUUUGCCCCAGCCUCGGAGCGCACAGCAGAAGCAGUGAAUCUCGUGAGAGAUAUAGCUUGGGGUGUCUACAAUAACCCACCAAAUUCCAGCAUUCACACUUAAGAGGCUUCGAAACAAAGGAGGUAGGAAGUGGGAGGGGAUAGGAUGGGGAAGCAUAAACUUAGCAUCCAGUUUUAUCUAAAGCAAAAAAGGUGCCACAGUAAUGCUGGGAAAAGUGGUAUAAGACCUUGGAACGGACUAGACUACAAUUACUUAGGGUCUUCUUGAAUCCUGGCUAGAAUCAAAACAUGGAUCUGUUGUAAACUUUAUACCUCCCAAGAAGUCACCAAGAUAUACUGCUAAGUUGUAAACCUACAGGACCAAAAUGAAUUAUCAUAACUAUAAAUGACCUGCUUCUAGAGACAAGCCUCCAGGGUGGCGGCAGCUAGAAAUCAAUCAAGGUGGUUUUGGAGGAGCUUAGCAAUAUGGAGAUGAUUGGGCAAGUCCCCUAAUUAUUUCAGCAGCAUAAAUAUUUGCAUCUGCUGAUUAUGAUUUUUAUGCUAUCGAUUUUCAUUAGCAAGAUCCCUUGCAAUCCACCUUCCCUCUCAGAAACACUUUGCCUUUUAAUAGACACACAAAGCCCUACAACAUAGCAGCUCAUAAAUGGAUAUGAUAAUACCUCAAAAGCAGAUAUGAACAUACUGGAUUAUACAAGCUUAUGCUAAGACAUCUUUGAUCAGCUUUGUAUAUUGUAAUCAUCAUCAUCAUCAUCAUCAUCCACUUCUACAUUGGGUGUAAUCCUAUUUGCCUUCCCUAGGAACUCAAGGAAACUUUCUGUUCCCCAGACUCAAUUUCUCCCUCUUUUUCUGAGAGAAUUCAGGGCUCUUCACAUAAAUUAUCCAUGUGAUCCUUGUGAUAGGAGUUGUUAAGCUAGUCUGCUGCAUCAAGCCAAAGAUCUUUCUAGUCCAGCCUCCAGUUUCUUGCAGUGGCCAAUCUCAUGCUGCUGGUAAGCCUACAGGUAGGAGAGGAGGACGAUAUCCUUCAACUGCUCUUGCCACUUCCCAGCAAGCAGCGUUCAGAGGUAUACACUUCUGAACCUGGAACCAGCAAUCAUGUCUAAAGGAAUUCUCUGGAGUGGUCUACAAACCAUAAAUUAGCUCAAUGUUGAUAAGGUGCUUUAGUUUGAGUGUUUGAAUCUACUGCCAGUCAAUUUCAUUGGGUGACCUUGAAUUCUGUUGUUUUGGGGUGGGGAGAAAGAAUAUGUAACUACUGAAGACACUUUCGUUUAAGAAGGCUUUCCACGAAGUCAUAUUUUGGACUAUUAAUUCUAGAAUGGUAGAAAUGAUUUUAUAGCUCUUAGUUUUUGAAUCCAUGAUUUAUCUUAUUUUUAUCUUGUUGUGCAUUGCUUUGGUAGCUGUGAAGUGAUUUAUAAAUCUGCAAAUAAAUGAACAACACUAGUUCUGCCCACUUUCUUCACAAUAUGCAUAAUUUUAUAAACCUUUAUCAUGAACACCCUUUCUGACAUUAUUUUUGUUCCUAAACGCAGAAGCUCCAAAUGCUUUGGUGUUCCAAUUCCUUGGUCAUUUUGGUUGCCUUUUUCUGGAAGCUCCGUUCUAAGAACUGUCCAUUUCCAUUUACUCCUACAUUUAUUUUGUUGUGUAGAGUUCUCCUGCCCUACUUUUUAGUCCCAAAGGGCUGUCACAGCUGCCUACAAAAGAUUUGCACAAAACGUUCUCAUUUAAGUGUAGUACCAGGAACAUAAAUGACAUGAUGUCCAUAUGGUGCCAGGUUUAUCCAGUCAGCAAGCCCACUAAGGACCUCGUAGGCAAGGGAUUGGGGCCGAGAAGCCGGAACUGUUUCAGCCCAUGAUAAUAAUAAUAUAAUAAUAAUUUAUUAUUUAUACCCUGCCCAUCUGGCUGGGUUUCCCCAGCCACUCUGGGCGGCUUCCAAAAGAAUAUUAAAAUACUGUGAUACAUCAAACAUUAAAAGCUUCCCUAAACAGGGCUGCCUUCAGAUGUCUUCUAAAAGUCUGGUAGUUGUUGUUCUCUUUGACAUCUGGUGGGAGGGCGUUCCACAGGAAGGGCGCCACUACCGAGAAGGCCCUCUGCCUGGUUCCCUGUAACUUGGCCUCUCGCAGUGAGGGAACCGCCAGAAGGCCCUCGGAGCUGGACCUCAGUGUCCGGGCAGAACGAUGAUGGAGACAUGUCUACAUAGCGCUUCCUGUUCUUUAAGAAAUCAGUGAUCCGUAAGAGAAACAAUCUUCCUAUCCCAUGACUGUGAAAUUUUCUAAACAGACUUCUUUUUUUAGUUCAACUCAUAGUGCUUUUUCAGGAGAUGACUGCAACAAAGCAAAGACAAUCCACAGAUAUUCACAUGCACAAGAAAAUAAGAAUAAACAAAAAGAAAUGUGAGCACUUAAAGCACGUUAUCAUUUUUGUUUUUAUAUAAAUCAUGGGAACUUUUAUAUUUACUUGAUGCUUUAUAAGCAUCUAAAUGUGUGUAGCACUUGAUGGAGCAUGGAGAGUGGAUGGAUAUGUGCAGCAGAAAUAUUCGUUGUAGAUCUCAUGGCAUGCCUCAUCCAUAAUAAGAUUUUUUCCAGAUGCUUCUGAAAAUUGCUGAAUGGAAAAAAAUCUCGCUUUAAACUAGUACAUAAUGAUUUCCCUUAUUUAUUGCCUUCAGUUUCCUUUCCAUUUUGGCGAAAAGAGACUAAAGUUUUUCUUCUUAAUCCAGGUUCUGAGAACAUGUAUGCGUGCAUGAAUGUAACACAUCCAUGAAUAUAAGGAAGCAUUUUAAAACAGGAGUAGCUGACAUGGCAUCCACCAGAUGUUGCUGGACUACCACUCCCACCAUCCCUCUCCAUUAGCCACACUGAUGGGCAACAUCUAGAAGGCUGCACAUUGGAUACCUCCACCCUUUCAGAAUUCUGCAAAGCCUUGUUUAUCUAGACCUCUCUGGUCUGGAUCUUUCUACAUACUGUA